rnacentral:misc_RNA from 1 species
CAUUUAAAUUGAACUCAUAAUGGCUAUUAAUAUAGCCCAUAUCGUAGGUCAUAGUCGCUGGACACUUCGACCUAUGAUGUGGUCUCGGCUCGAAUAUCGACCUGCCAUGCUAUUGGAGAACUUUUAGCCUCAUCGUAGAAUGUCUCCUCUACUUCAAACUCGAUGAAAAUGUUGCGUACGUGCAAUCCUUUGAACAUCUCGUAGUUCUACAUGUACAUUCCUUGUUUCAAUGUGAAACGAUCGUUUCGAACGAAUUUAAUCUUCACUGUGAAAUCUGCCAUUUCUGGAUAAACAAAGGCAAUUUUUAGAAAUGGCGAAAGAAAGGAGAGAGAAUAAAACGAGAUGGAAGGAUGUAAAGGGAUAAAAAGCGCUGAGGAAAUCUCGUUGAAUUUACGACACGCUAUUCUAGGCGCUGUAUCUUAGACUGUAAAACGAGACUGGAGGCGGGUAGAACCGACUGA